rnacentral:lncRNA from 1 species
CAGUCACACCCUUUGGAGCUUGAUCGUUCUGCAUACCUAACUAACUAACUAACUAACUCUGUGAAGAGCGAGCGAGCGCUGACUGCAGCAGGGAGGGUUCAAGAGAGCUUUUGUCAUGCAGGUGCCGGUUCUCUCCUUCCACCCCGGGGAUCCUGGGGCUUGAACUCUUGAACUCGGGUCUUCAUGCUUGGCAGCAAGUGCCGUUGCCCACUGAGCCAUCUCUCCAGCCUAUUGCAUGAUUUCUUAUAUUGCUUUGUUUUCUGUUUUUGUUUGUUUUGACAGGGUUGAGUUUAUCUCAGGCUGGCCUUGAGGUCUACAUAUUGCCAAGGAUAACUUUGAACUCCCGAUGCUCUUGCCUCUGCCUUCCAAGUGCUGGGAUUGCAGAAGUCACUACUGUGUGUCCAUCAAAAUGAGGGAUACAUCAAGAGACAGAGACAUGGAACCCUCCGGCGGGCGGUGAACAGAAGCCUCCCGGGGCCAGCAGGCCCAGAUGGAAUCAGAGUUUGGGCCAAAACUGGAGAAGAAGAAAAAAAUACUUGCAUGGUUUCGGAAGCACGAGAUUGAUUGACUGAAAAAAGGAUGAAAUAGAGCCAGGUGUGGUUGCUCAUGCCUAUAAACCAGCACCUGAGAGACUGAGGCAGAAGGAUCGCUCUCAGCGUGAGGCCAGCCUAGACUACAAACAAACAAACAAACAAUGCAGAGGGGUCUGGGGCCUGGCUGGUGGUAGCGACGGCCUAGCGCAUGGUGUGGUUUCUGCGUGAGACUUGUAGAAUUCUUUUAGGAAUUGAUUACAUUAAGGCACUAAAGAAUUGUACUAAAUUAAAAAAAGAAAUCCAGGCUGGAAAGAUGGCUCAGUGGUAAGGACACUUGCUGCUCUUGCAGAGGAUCCAAGUUUAGUUGAUUCUCAGCAUCCACAUCCAGCAACUCAAAAAAACCAUCGGGAACAACUCCGGCUCCCGGGGAUCUGGUGCCCUCUUGUGGCCACAACAGCACCUGCAUGUUUGUGCACAGACAUCCACAAAAUUAAAAUUAAAUCUUUUAAAAAUAAGUCAAUAAAAAUAUUUUUCAAAAACUCCACCACUCAUGAAGACCGUCUCUUCCCUUUGGCGAUGGUGUCUGGACAUCCUGCAUUCUCGGAGCCAUGAGCCUCUCAGCUUCCUGUCCAGUGCUGUAGUGUGUCUCCACUCGCACGUCCCUCCUGUCCAGAGCCGAGCGCGGUGCAGUCCACACACUCGGACCAUGGUGUGGUUUUCAGAGCCCUGUCUUCUCCACGGUUUUGUUUGGUCAUCUCCUGAUUUCCACCCCCCUUCCAGAAACCCAAGACUCGAUGAGCCUUCUGCUAAUGGAGCUGCUGUGCUCUGUGCCUUGGGACUCGGUGCAUUGUGUGACCCCUGAGUCUUGGCCAGAGUCCAACAGAAAGACAGCUGCUCUUGAGAUUUGGGACUCUCUAAUGGCUUGGGCGUGAGUUUCCGGAGCUCUGCGCACACAGACAACACCUCUCGGUAUUUUUUUAAAAUUACUUGUGAAGUCAACAUUGCUUUUUUUUUAAGAUUUUUUUUUUUUAAUUUUUGGUUUUCCAAGACGGGUUUCUCUGUAGCUUUGGAGCAUGUCCUGGCACUCGCUCUGUAGACCAGGCUGG